GGGAAAGACUGGGAGAGGAGUGUUUAUUUUUCCCUGCUUCCUCUGCACCAAGAGACAAGGCCACUGAGGCACAGAGAGGUGAGAGCGCUUGCAUGAGGUCACACAGCAUUGGGAAUCCAUUGCAGGCAUUCUGGCUGCAGUGUCUGGCACUUAGCAACCAGUGACUAUGACCUCUAAUGAAGCCUAACAAAUGAGUAAUGAAAAUGGAAAAUAUAUCAUCCCUGCUCUUGAGGAACUUACAUGCUACUGAAAAAGAUGGGACUAAAUGCGAAGUUACAGUAGAACGUGGUAAGAAGUGUGAGGACGGUAAGAAGAUCUUCCAGAAGCAGUAAGGAUGGCGUCAGGCCCUGUCAAGUUUCUACUGCCAUUGCUUAGUUGAGGUUUCUCUUACUACUGCAUUGCAACAGCUUUAUAACCUUCCACUCCCAGCCUGCAAGACCUUCAACUGUAAGCUCCAGCCUAACCGCUAAAAUUCUCUGCCAUAAAGAUGAUAAUGGAGAAAUUGGAAGAGGCUUAGAGAAGAAUAAGUCACCAAAUGUUUAUUAAGCCCUGAAAUAUUCCAGGUACCGUGAUACACCCACUGGGCAUCAGUUAUAAGUCAUGUGCAAUUGAGAGGAUAAAAGUGAAGAGUCUCUCUUUCAGCGGCGUGGUCUCCUGCAAGCACCCUGAGCAGAAGAUUAUACUAACACUAGAGAAAAUGAUCGGGUCCUUGAAAGGAUACACAAACACCAGGGAUGAAAUGAACUCACCAGCUAUCUGAAAUGAGUUACAAGAUACAGCCACAGGCUCCUGAGCUGAGAACCCAGAAAAUCCCUACAAGAUAAGUGCUGUGAUCCCUACUUCACAGAUGAAGGAAGAGGAACUGAGAAGUUAAGUCACACGGUCACAAGAUCACAUACUUGGAGCAUAAUUACCAUGCCAUUGAUUCUCUCUCCGGGCCUGGAAAGGAAACAAGAUGCACUGUCCUCAAUGAUGAGAUCUACAGGUACUCUGAAGAAUUCAUCGUCGUCUCCACCUCAAACACAGCCAACCAGCUCCUGUUCCUGGUGAUACUUCCCAUUGCCAUUGAGUUAGUGAGGCUUACAACUUCAAAAGCCACUUUUGCUCCCUCCUCCCUGGUAUUUUACAUGGAAUCAGUCAUCCAGACCAGAUGCAAAUUGUCAAAGCUCCGAAGAUGGACCCCACCAAGAUGAUUAACUGGAGAUUCACCACUGCUGGUUUGGAAAGAAUACUACAGUGACUGGUUAACAAUUUAACGAAACAUUACUGACUCCAGGCUGCCCAUGCAAGAUGUUCUGGUAGGUGCCUGCAAGAGAGAGAAAGUAAGAUACAACUCCUACCAUAAAGGAUUUACACACUGACAAAGACACAUCGACAACCUCAAAAAUAAACAGUAAAGGGUUCUUGAGAAGGACUAUGUGUAGAGCAUUAAAGAGUAACCAGGAAUUAAUAUUAGCUGCAGGAAUAGGGGCCAAAAGGCAACCAUGUGGGGAAAAAAGGCAUCUGAAAUGGACUGUUAAAGCUAAAUACGGGUUUGGCAAGCAGAGAGAGGUGGGAUGGGGAAGCUACAGUGUUCUAAGAAGAGACUGAACACGACAACGUGGCACAGAAUGUACAGGAUGUAUCUGUGAGGUUGGCAGUGGGGUUUGGAUUGUUUACAGAGCACAUGCAAGGGAAUCCUAUACAGGACAAGUACUUAAGAGUGAUACUUGUUAGGGGCCUGGGGAGAAAAGGGAAAUGAGUCUGUACCCAGUAGAAAAGCACUGGAGGGUCUAGUCAAGGAAUGCGAUGAAUGAGAGGGAGAAAGACUCCUCUGUCAGUUUAGGGUACUUACAGCAACAGAGAUAGUCAAAUGUAUAAAAUGAGUACAUAUGACAAAAAAUGAAUCAUAGAAAUUAUUUUAGUGCAAUAA